GACGAACGCUGGCGGUGUGCCUAAUACAUGCAAGUAGAACGCACAGUUUAUACCGUAGCUUGCUACACCAUAGACUGUGAGUUGCGAACGGGUGAGUAACGCGUAGGUAACCUGCCUGGUAGCGGGGGAUAACUAUUGGAAACGAUAGCUAAUACCGCAUAAUAUUGAUUAUUGCAUGAUAAUUGAUUGAAAGAUGCUAUUGCAUCACUACCAGAUGUACCUGCGUUGUAUUAGCUAGUAGGUGAGGUAACGGCUCACCUAGGCGACGAUACAUAGCCGACCUGAAAGGGUGAUCGGCCACACUGGGACGGAGACAAGGCCCAGAAUCCUACGGGAGGGAGCAGUAGGGAAUCUUCGGCAAUGGACGAAAGUCUGACCGAGCAAAGCCGCGUGAGUGAAGAAGGGUUUCGGAUCGUAAAGCUCUGUUGUAAGAGAAGAACGGGUGUGAGAGUGGAAAGUUCACACUGUGACGGUAUCUUACCAGAAAGGGACGGCUAACUACGUG
rnacentral:rRNA from 1 species